UUCUGCAUAUUUAAAAGUACAGAUGUGAUUAUUUUAAAUUAGAAAGAUGUAGGAUCAUGCUUGGCUAGAAGGAGCACAACUACAGAGCUUUCCCAUAAGGUACUGGUUUGUGUGUGCGGUGUUUGUACACUGAACAUUUCACAAACCUCCUCUGCUGAAAAUCUAAACCUGCACACACAACGGUUUAAUAAAGGAUCCAAAUAGUUACAAAAAGGAUUUUUAUUACCUUGUUAGAAAUCAAUAGACAUCUUUCAGUAAAAUUUCGCAAUCACUUUAACGAAUGAGUGGUUUAAACAAAAUUAUCAAAAUGACUCCAAAGAGUUACAUAUGUCAAUUGUCAUGUUAGCAUUAUAGUUAAAGUGCAAUCUCUAAUACGGACCGAACCCGCUCCUUAUUAACCAACUAACAUUGCCCCAUUUUUGGAUGGAUAAAUUACUUAUUCACCACCAAUAAAAAGAUGCUCUAAAGCCUGCUGUAACGAUGUUUCCACUCUGGAUGUUAAAAUAUUUCUUUUUCUUUUUUGUUUAAAUAUGUUACGACUAAUUUCAAAUUUUAUUUGCUACAAUAUGAUUUUUAAAUGCAAUACGGAGUGCUGUCGUUACUAUUAAAUGAAGUUUACAGCAAACUUUUAAUUCCAGAAUAUCGCAAGGUACCGAUAAACACGUAGAAAAAAAUAUAAUAAUUUUUCAAAGCAUUAAACAACAUCAGGAUCCUGUUAGGAACAAAUACAUCAUUUUUGCUUGACAGCUUUUCACACCAGUUGUUAAGAACUUGCAUUCCAGUUACACAGGAUUUGUGUGUGUGUGUGUGUGUGUGUGUGUGUGAAGUCCAGCGUUGUUUGCAGCCCCCUCGGGGGAGUUGGGAGGGCCAGGACUUCUUUUAAUAUUUUUGGUACAGAGAUUGUUUUUCAUUACACUCAAACCCAAUCAGUUUCUCUUGCAAUUGUUGUGGUGAUUGGAGAAGAACUUGUGCACACGCUGUAGCCUUUGCAUCCCUCCGGGACAAGGUUUCCAAUUCCCCAUCGCUGCUGGGAUCCCCAGUCUGAAAUCUGAGGGAAAGGGAAGGCAGACCGUCCAGACCUGAGAAGAGCCCCUAACCUAGUUCAAGGUGGAAAAGUUUCCUAGCCAUGAAGUCACUCCAGGUUUGGACAGUCAGUUCCACAAAUAAAAUAAACAAAAUGAACCA
rnacentral:lncRNA from 1 species